AUGUUCUGGGCUACCCUCGUCAGCCUGUUAGUCACGUGGUGCACAGGUUCAGACUCUCAGCUCACGCUGUCUCAGCCACCUUCAGCCUCGGUGUCGCCAGGGAACACAGUGAAACUCUCCUGUGCCUUCAGCAGAGAAACCAGCGUCAGUGGCAAAAGCGUAUACUGGUACCAGCAGAAGCCUGAGAAUUCCCCAUGAUACCUCUUAAUGUAUUAUUCAGAUUCCAGCAAGCACCAAGGCUCUGGUGUCCCUGCUUGGUUUUCUGGUUCGAAAGACGCCUCCACGAAUACCGGCUAUUUGACUAUCACAGGAGUCCUGGCAGAAGAUGAGGCUGAU